UACAGAGGGUGCAAGCGUUGUUCGGAAUUACUGGGCGUAAAGCGCGUGUAGGCGGCUUUGCAAGUCGGGUGUGAAAGCCCUCAGCUCAACUGAGGAAGUGCGCCCGAAACUGCAGAGCUUGAGUGCCGGAGAGGGUGGCGGAAUUCCCCAAGUAGAGGUGAAAUUCGUAGAUAUGGGGAGGAACACCGGUGGCGAAGGCGGCCAUCUGGACGGAUACUGACGCUGAGACGCGAAAGCGUGGGUAGCAAACAGG
rnacentral:rRNA from 1 species